CAUCAUUUACCCAGGCCUGCCAGUGAGGUGGCUCAGGCUGGGCCCUCAGCUGCUCUGUCAAAUUCUGUGUCUGCUUUCUUUAGACCAUGGUCUUAGAGUCAGGGUAUUUCAAGUGCAUCGUCGGGUCGACGAUGAAAAUGGGGGGGAUGGAUUGUAGUGGUAUGAGGCACUGUUAUAUUUUUGGUUUCACCCUGCCCUACUUGGCUCCUCAGCCAAUCACUGUUUACACCGAGAGGAUAAAAGUAGGACAGGUCCCCCCCCUCUGCCCUUUCGCUUCCUGCCUCUUCGGCCCGCCCCCUUCCGGGUCGUUGUCUCUGCUGCGCACCGCAUAGCACAGGUAGGCACACCUUUAGCUCGCCGGUUUUUCACUUAUAAAAGUAUUAUUUAACUAAAACAUAAUCUUGUCGUAGAUCGGCAUUACUGAGGCGGCCGUGGUGAUGCAUUUGGGCCGUUGCCUAGGUUGACCGGAGCAUAGCUGCUGGUCGCAUGGUGUGUGGUGGCAGUCCUCCCCCGCUGCGCCGACCCUCUUCACCCCUCUCCCUCUUUGGUGGGGACGCAAACCGACCGGACUGGAAACCGGUAUCUUGACCGUCACGGCCAAAGUUGGAGGCCGACGGUGAUGGUGGUGGUGGUUCCUCCUGGGUGGUGGUGGUCCCCUGUGUGCGUGUGAUUCCCAUUCAAGAUUAUUUUGUGUGCACUUCACGUUUGCUGUGUGAAUGGGGUGUUCCCCUCUUUUUUGGACGUCACUUCCCUUUUGUUGACCCCUCCUCCAGCCGGUAAGCCUCAGCUCGCAUCCCCUUCUACAGUUGGGCUCGCUUCAUAUUUAUUUCUUUCAUUGUCCCAGACCUUGUGAUUAGUUUUUUUAACAAUAAAGUUUUGUAUGACAUUUUGAACUCCGUCUCCUAACCUCCCUGUCUUGAACGAACCUGUGUCCUUUUACAAUAGUUGAUAAUUGACCUUUCCUACGGGUCCUUGGGCCCUAACCCAAGGUGGCGUUGUCGGUAAUAUAGGAGAAAAAAAUCAU